rnacentral:lncRNA from 1 species
CGGCGCGGGGAGGCCGAAGAACACCAGCGCCGCCCGCACCACCGCUGCCAACGCCGCCAACGACACCACCGCGUUGUACAGCACGUACAGCACCAGGCUGUCCUUGGGCGCUGGCAUGCUCGAGAUCCCCAUCCUCCUCGUCGGCGGCAACAAAUUCGCCCCAAACCCCCUCAAAACACCUCGAAUCCACGCGCGCGAGGGGCUCCGCUUAUCCGCGAGACCCAGGAACCCGGUUGCAAUUGCCGAUUCUCCCGAGGCGGCCGACGCGAAACUGUGAGGGAGCGUACAGUGAGUGGGAGAGAGAGAGAGAGAGAGAGC